UACAGAGGUCCCAAGCGUUGUUCGGAUUUAUUGGGCGUAAAGAGCUCGUAGGCGGUUCGACAAGUCGGGUGUGAAAACUCCGGGCUCAACCCGGAGACGCCACCCGAUACUGUCGUGACUGGAGUCCGGUAGGGGAGUGGGGAAUUCCUGGUGUAGCGGUGAAAUGCGCAGAUAUCAGGAGGAACACCGGUGGCGAAGGCGCCACUCUGGGCCGGUACUGACGCUGAGGAGCGAAAGCGUGGGGAGCAAACAGG
rnacentral:rRNA from 1 species